GUUGUGCAACUGGUAACCCAAAAAUAAAAAUAUGGUUGUAAAUGCAUUUACCGGUCAUUCUGAUAUUAAUGCUCGCUAUGGGAACACAGGAUGGCCGGGCAGUGAUAGUUGUACAUUUCCAUCACUCGUUGUGUUGAUUUCAUCAUGUCCAUUAGGUGAUGUUUUUUCACUAUAGAAUCAUAUUGCAAGUGCGCGCGCAUUUGCAAUAUGUUUCAAUGUGCAUUUACCAUAUGAAAUUUGACAUGCUCAAAAAUGCAAAAUUGACUGGUCUGAUGAACACAGGAUGGCUGAGCAGUGAUAGUUGUACAUUUCCAUCACUCGUUGUGUUGAUUUCAUCAUGUCCAUUAGGUGAUGUUUUUUCACUAUAGAAUCAUAUUGCAAAUGCACGUGCAUUGUUGUGCAACUGGUAACCCAAAAAUUAAAAUAUGGUUGUAAAUGCAUUUACCGGUCAUUCUGAUAUUAAUGCUCGCUAUGGGAACACAGGAUGGCCGGGCAGUGAUAGUUGUACAUUUCCAUCACUCGUUGUGUUGAUUUC